AGCCGUCAGUUCUAACUAACCGUUAUCCCAUAACGGUCAGCCCCAAAUUUCAUUCCCAAAAUUCUGGGUUCUUCGAUGGUGAUCUCGAUCAUGAGUCUUUCCGCCUAAAUUCUUCUUACAAGUGGAUUGGGAUCAUGAUUGAAGAAUCCUACAAGCUGUCAUACGGGUCUUGGCUUGGCCUCUCUUCAUCGACAAGAAGGAAGUAUAGUAUCUGGCCAUGAACCUCCCUUUAGGACUUCAUCAAAUUGAAAACUUGAAUGGAUCAAAUUUUAAGCGAUGGAAGCAAGACAUAGAGCUGCAUCUAGGCAUGAUAGACUAUGACCAUGUCCUUAAGGAAGACCCACCAGCUGAACCAACACCUACUACCAGCAAGGAUGUGAAAGAUAGGUACCAUCAGUGGCACAAACACAACAGAUUAACCCUAGUAAUCUUGAAGAAAUUUAUGACAGAAGCUGUGAGAGGGAGUAUACCCGAGUCUGAAUAUGCUAGGGAAUAUUUCAAAAAUGUAGAGGAGAAAUUUAAGGUGUCAGAUAAGGCUGAGAUUGGAAACCUGAUGAACACCCUCAUUACCAUGAAAUUCGAUGGAGUUGGAAGCGUCAGAGAGUAUAUAAUGAAGGGUAUUGAUGUAGCAGCAAAACUCAAGGCCCUUAAUCUUAACAUAGAAGAAACCUUCCUGGUACAUUUGCUUUUGAAUUCUCUGCCUCAACAAUAUAGUCAGAUGCAGUCUAACUAUAAUACACAGAAGGAGAAGUGGACUAUGAAUGAAUUAAUUUCUAUAUGUGUUCAAGAAGAGGAUAGAAUUAAGAAGGGAAAGAGCAUAGGAAUCAACUUUGUCAGCAAGCCUCAGUUUAAGAAAAGGUUCAGCAGCAAAUCAAACCAAUCAGGUGCCUCAUCUUCUAAAGUUUCUCAGGGCUCAGGGGUCUAGCAACUUUAAAAACUUUAAGAAUGGUUCUGUGAAAUGUUUUUUCUGCCGAAAGCCUGGACAUGUCAAAAAGGAUUGUAAGGGUUUUAAGGACUGGCUUCUAAAGAAAGGGAUAUCUAAGAAAGAGGAUCCCAAACAAGGAUGUGUUGACACCCAAAUUUCCACGAGUUCAAAUUCUAUGAGUGAUAAGCGAAGAGGGGAAGUCAUCAACCUCGUAACCUAAUUGGGCCUUCAAACAAGCCCAUUUCACAUCAAAAGGAAGCUCUCUAUUUAGCAAGCGAUACGAGAAGCCCAAAUUCUCAAACAAUUGACAUGCAUUUUCAAAUGAGCCAACACGCUUAUUUACCAUGCGAUACGCGUAGACCCAAGCUACGUUUGGGGCUUAUACGGCGGGGUGUGGUGUGGAAGGUAACAGAUCGUGCGAGGCCCAUUGUUAUGAUAAGGCCCGUCGGUGAUUUUGGACUUGGGAACCAAAAUUCAUGCUUCGAGGGCCGAUAUCUUAACAUGGGCUAGUAGAGAGAUAAAAGCAGGCCCAACAAGACUUAGAGCCCACUAGGGUCAUUCACCCUAUCCAAAACCCAUUACACUAGAACCGGCAGCCCAAGAUUUGUUGGAGUCAUCUUCCCCAAAUCAGGAACGUUGCUUCAUCAAAUCGUUGCUGGGAUUACUACUCCAUCUAUUUCUGGUAAUAACCCCAAGUUUAUGCAAAAGCUUCCCAAACUCUCAUCCUCCUAAGUCCUAUCUCAGUUUCCAAUAAUCCAUAGGUUUCUGUGAUCACAACUCACAAUUCACAAUAGCACAAAUCAAGGGAUUAUGACCUCCCCAAAAUCACGGCAGCACGAAACCGGGGAUCUCCCUCGCCGUCCUAUACCUACAUCGCUGGUCUUUACCCACAUAGCCAAAGCAAGCUCUCACUCUUCUGGUUUCAUGGGGAAAACAAACACUGAAAGUCUUAGAAUGAUCCCACCAAAACUUAGAAUACCCUUUCAAAGCCUCUGGUUCUUGGUACAAAUCCUUCUCGUCUAUCACCACUAUAAAAGGCGAGUUCAUUGCCAUAGGAAAGCAAGCCACAACAGCCCAGAAACAUCAAGCAAGAGAUCAAGCUUCGUCUCUGAAUCAAUAGCCACCGAUUCUUCCCAACCAACCUUAACCCAAAACCCAGAAAUCAUGUUACUGCUGGAACCUUCUCUCUGCUAAAACUCUCAUGCAUCUAGCUCCCACACCAUGCCUGCCUAUAAGUCCUGUUCCUGUGAAAUAUAGUCCAAUCGCUGCCAUUAUCAUCAAGCCAAAAUCGCUGCCGUAAUCAUCAAGCAAAAUCGCUGCCGUAAUCGUCAAGCCAAAUCGCUGCCGUUAUCACUAAGCCAAAUCGCUGCCGUUAUUGUCAAGCCAAAUAGCUGCGGUUACACCAACUUGGUCACAACGAGGUUGUUCUCAGGUCUAACCUUUGAUCAAUCUUGGGCCUAGUCUCGCUUGAUCAAGAGGGCCCUGUUGCAAAAGAUCUAAGACGCAAAAAGACCCUCACAUUUUUGGCGACUUCACUGGGGACUAGGCUGUGACUCUAGCUGGUGGUUUCUUCCUCACUGCGACAUAUCUCAAGCUACAAUAUUCUAACAGCAGUAGAUCCCAAUCUAUCCCUUAAGCUCUGUUCAUGGGAUCAGGAACCAUUGCCAGAAACAAU